AACAAAUCUGUUACUAAAGAUUCUAUUCGAUUUGAUUCUUUUAAAAUUAUGUUUAAAAACAUGUCUAAUGAUUCCGCAUCAUUUUUUGCACCAUCAAUAAGCGUUUCAGCAAACCCCUUAAUUGAAGUAAUAGGUGUUUUUAAUUCAUGUGAAACAUUUGCUACAAAUUCACGUCUUAGAUUUUCAAGUUGUUUCAGAUUUGUUAUGUCAUGCAUCACAACUAAAAUCCCUUGCAAACU
rnacentral:sRNA from 1 species